GAUGAACGCUGGCGGCGUGCCUAAUACAUGCAAGUCGAGCGAACAGAUGAGGAGCUUGCUCCUCUGACGUUAGCGGCGGACGGGUGAGUAACACGUGGAUAACCUACCUAUAAGACUGGGAUAACUUCGGGAAACCGGAGCUAAUACCGGAUAAUAUAUUGAACCGCAUGGUUCAAUAGUGAAAGACGGUUUUGCUGUCACUUAUAGAUGGAUCCGCGCCGCAUUAGCUAGUUGGUAAGGUAACGGCUUACCAAGGCAACGAUGCGUAGCCGACCUGAGAGGGUGAUCGGCCACACUGGAACUGAGACACGGUCCAGACUCCUACGGUAGUCAGCAGUAGGGAAUCUUCCUCAGUGGGCGAAAGCCUGACGGAGCAACGCCGCUUGAGUGAUGAAGGUCUUCGGAUCGUAAAACUCUGUUAUUAGGGAAGAACAAAUGUGUAAGUAACUAUGCACGUCUUGACGGUACCUAAUCAGAAAGCCACGGCUAACUACGUG
rnacentral:rRNA from 1 species